AGGAGGGUGCCCGAUUGGGUUAGAACCCUAGACGCCACUCCUCGCCGUGCCCAUCGCCAUCCCGCGCCGCCGCUACAUCUCCCCUCGCCCCCCGCGCCGCCGCCACAUCUCCUCCGCCACACUCAGCCGUGCCCCUCGCCCUCCCGCGCCGCCGCCGCCGCAUCUGCUCCUCCCCAUUGGAUCUCUCACGCCGCCCCUGUCUUUCCUUCUUGUCCUGCAUCACUCGGAGGGCUGCAGCUGCCGCUCAUGUCGCUGCUCCCCGUGCGAGCUCACGCGUCACCAUCCCGGGAGGAGUUGAGGCUGCCGCUCACGUAGCUGCUCUGCCCGGCGAAGCUCGUCGUCACCAUCUCCAUCGUCCGCAGGAGUGGCAGGCAGCACCGAAAGACGAUUCAAAAGCGACCGGCGAGGGCGUCGAGCCGAGGGUUUUCAACGAUAAUAUAAGCAGGCUAACAAGGAAAGACAGCUUUAUGCAUUUCAGCAAGUACCUUUUCAGAUGUGCAGUUUGGCCUAUGAGCUUGCGGAUGCUAAGAAGUUUCAGAGCGAAUGACGUUCUCGAUGAUGGAGAGGGACCGGCUCGGCCUCAGCGGCCUUCUCCCACCGGUUCAGUCGUUUCCUAGCAGCAGCCAGGUCGACCGAUUUCAGAGAAGCUUAGGCGCGAUUUUGCAAUGAAGGGGGGCACAUCUAUGGGCAAUGAUCGAGGACAAUACCAUCAGUCAGUGAGUAGAAUCACAAGCCUACCCCUUAUCGACAGGGAGUCUUCGAUGGUUCGUCUGCCUCAUCGGCGUUCAACGGGGGUGCGAAGAGAUCCUGACCAUCUCAACGGACAGCCCCGCUCACUACUUAUGCAACAUAAGGAUUCCAG